rnacentral:rRNA from 1 species
UGAAGUCGGAAUUGCUAGUAAUCGCGGAUCAGCAUGCCGCGGUGAAUACGUUCCCGGGCCUUGUACACACCGCCCGUCACACCAUGGGAGCCGGUAAUACCCGAAGUCAGUAGUCCAACCUCGUGAGGACGCUGCCGAAGGUAGGAUUGGCGACUGGGGUGAAGUCGUAACAAGGUACC